rnacentral:lncRNA from 1 species
UCAACACUUACAAAACUAAAAUAUUGACAUAAGCUGCUUUCACAAACUUGUAUUCCCCAGGGGCAAUAAUCAGGCCUCAUUUGCUGCUUUUCUGUCAUCUUGUGCAGGGUUAUACUCAUAUCUCUGAAACUGUUUUUUGUCUCUGCAAAAUAAAUGAGUGAUGCUACACUAGGUCCACCUCAAAAUGGAUGCUGAUGGAUAGAGCUCAAUGCAUUAACUUUGAUGGUGCAGAAACAUAUCAAGGGACUCUCUUUAUGUCUUUUGAAAUACAUUUUCAAUUUUCAGGUUAUUUUGCUACCCUCAAUGUACUUUCUUUUAACUUACACCAUUACCUAGAGUAUAAAGCCUUUUUAUACUACUCUAUUACUAGUAACUUUCAUGUGUUUGAAGAUGGUUAUAACAUUUUUCUCAUUGAACUCCUUGCUAAUCAAUUAAUAAGAAUAGAGUAAAAUAUUUAUUCAAAACCACUCAGACUCCCAGUGAGCAAAGAUGCAGAAAAAAAGAAUAAUAGAAGAAAGCAUGGAGUAAGGCAUUAUUCAAAGGCGUGGAUAUUUCCAUAAGAAACAGCUAUUUUUAUGACUGAUUUCAUUUCUCCAGACACCCAGCCAUGUUGUCACUUGUAAGUGACGUACUAGGAAGAUUUUCAAUCAUAAAGAUCAGAACGCUGUUUUUGGAAAGACUUCGAUUUCUGUAACCAUUAUUGCACUGUGCUAAGAGACUAUGCUUAAUGUAUUGCAGUCAAGUUUGAUAGAAAUUAAAAGUAUUUCUUAAAAAUUACUGUUAAAUUAAUAUGCCUUCACCAGUGCUAUAAGUCAGUGAAUGCUUUCAUAUUUAUGUUUCCCAUUAAAGUCAGUGAAAAUUUCUCAGGUCUUUUAGCCCUUACCCUUAAACUAGAUUCUAUCACAGUUCAGUAUUCUUGAUUGUGUAUCCUAUACAACAUAUAUAAUGUGCCUCAUUAAUGCCAUAACAUACUACAAAAUAUCUGUAUAUUAUAACAUGCUAAAUGGACAUAAGCAACAAUUUAUAUCAAAUUCAUAUAAGGCAAAUUGCUAUCUGUGUAAGAACUAUAAAACUCAUUAUGCAUAAAAAAGACAGGCAUGCUCAACUGACACCCUGGAAAAAAUAAGGAUCAAAAUAACCUCUCACCAAAAGCUGCAACUCAUACAUUUAUCAUUUAAAAAACUGCAUAUCAGUAUUAACUUGACAAGGUCCAAUUGUGAGAUAAAGUUAUCUUUCCACUUAAAAGUAGAAUAACAAGAAUGAAAGGCAAUAACAACU